rnacentral:rRNA from 1 species
UACGAAGGGGGCUAGCGUUGCUCGGAAUUACUGGGCGUAAAGCGCACGUAGGCGGGUCAAUAAGUCGGAUGUGAAACCUCCAGGCUCAACCUGGAGACGCCAUCUGAUACUGCCGUGGCUUGAGUCCGGUAGAGGAGCAGGGAAUUCCUGGUGUAGCGGUGAAAUGCGCAGAUAUCAGGAGGAACACCAGCGGCGAAGGCGCUGCUCUGGGCCGGUACUGACGCUGAGGAGCGAAAGGCGUGGGGAGCGAACAGG